GACGAACGCUGGCGGCGUGCCUAAUACAUGCAAGUCGAACGCACAGUUUAUACCGUAGCUUGCUACACCAUAGACUGUGAGUUGCGAACGGGUGAGUAACGCGUAGGUAACCUGCCUGGUAGCGGGGGAUAACUAUUGGAAACGAUAGCUAAUACCGCAUAAUAUUGAUUAUUGCAUGAUAAUUAAUUGAAAGGUGCAAUUGCACCACUACCAGAUGGACCUGCGUUGUAUUAGCUAGUAGGUGAGGUAACGGCUCACCUAGGCGACGAUACAUAGCCGACCUGAGAGGGUGAUCGGCCACACUGGGACUGAGACACGGCCCAGACUCCUACGGGAGGCAGCAGUAGGGAAUCUUCGGCAAUGGACGAAAGUCUGACCGAGCAACGCCGCGUGAGUGAAGAAGGGUUUCGGAUCGUAAAGCUCGGUUGUAAGAGAAGAACGGGUGUGAGAGUGGAAAGUUCACACUGUGACGGUAUCUUACCAGAAAGGGACGGCUAACUACGUG
rnacentral:rRNA from 1 species